AGAAUCUUGCGCAAUGGGCGAAAGCCUGACGCAGCAACGCCGCGUGGGGGACGAAGGCCUUCGGGUCGUAAACCCCUUUUGCGAGGGAAGAAGUUCUGACGGUACCUCGCGAAUAAGCCACGGCUAACUACGUGCCAGCAGCCGCGGUAAUACGUAGGUGGCAAGCGUUGUCCGGAUUUACUGGGCGUAAAGCGCCCGCAGGCGGCCUGUUAAGUUCAAGGUGAAAUCUCCCGGCUCAACUGGGAGGGUGCCUCGAAAACUGGCAGGCUUGAGGUGAGGAGAGGGAUGCGGAAUUCCAGGUGUAGCGGUGAAAUGCGUAGAUAUCUGGAGGAACACCGGUGGCGAAGGCGGCAUCCUGGACCGAGAUUGACGCUGAGGCGCGAAAGCCAGGGGAGCAAAC
rnacentral:rRNA from 1 species